GGCUUUAUAGUCAAGUUUAUGAUGUAGGAUUGCAAGUCUUAAGUAGUGAUUAACCACUAAAGCUU
rnacentral:tRNA from 1 species